rnacentral:rRNA from 1 species
AGUGAACGCUGGCGGUAGGCCUAACACAUGCAAGUCGAACGGCAGCACAGUAAGAGCUUGCUCUUACGGGUGGCGAGUGGCGGACGGGUGAGGAAUACAUCGGAAUCUACUUUUUCGUGGGGGAUAACGUAGGGAAACUUACGCUAAUACCGCAUACGACCUACGGGUGAAAGCAGGGGAUCUUCGGACCUUGCGCGAUUGAAUGAGCCGAUGUCGGAUUAGCUAGUUGGCGGGGUAAAGGCCCACCAAGGCGACGAUCCGUAGCUGGUCUGAGAGGAUGAUCAGCCACACUGGAACUGAGACACGGUCCAGACUCCUACGGGAGGCAGCAGUGGGGAAUACUGGACAAUGGGCGCAAGCCUGAUCCAGCCAUACCGCGUGGGUGAAGAAGGCCUUCGGGUGGUAAAGCCCUUUUGUUGGGAAAGAAAAGCAGCAGGUUAAUACCCCGCUGUUCUGACGGUACCCAAAGAAUAAGCACCGGCUAACUUCGUG